rfam:Lactobacillus tucceti DSM 20183 Scaffold6, whole genome shotgun sequence.
UGGUUAUUUGUUUUUCUCAGAAGUCGUUUUGACAAAAGCAAGUAAAUUGACGGGUUUAACUAACGCAUGUCCUUGCUGUGAGUGUCACCGAGGGUAUGCGUUUUUUU